rnacentral:rRNA from 1 species
AAUCAUGGCUCAGGAUGAACGCUAGCUACAGGCUUAACACAUGCAAGUCGAGGGGCAGCGGGAUUGAAGCUUGCUUCAAUUGCCGGCGACCGGCGCACGGGUGAGUAACGCGUAUCCAACCUUCCGUACACUUAGGGAUAGCCUUUCGAAAGAAAGAUUAAUACCUGAUGGUAUCUUAAGCACACAUGUAAUUAAGAUUAAAGAUUCAUCGGUGUACGAUGGGGAUGCGUUCCAUUAGGUAG